GAUGAACGCUGGCGGCGUGCCUAAUACAUGCAAGUCGAGCGAACAGACGAGGAGCUUGUUCCUCUGACGUUAGCGGCGGACGGGUGAGUAACACGUGGAUAACCUACUUAUAAGACUGGGAUAAUUUCGGGAAACCGGAGCCAAUACCGGAUAAUAUAUUGAACCGCAUGGUUCAAUAGUGAAAGACGGUUUUGCUGUCUCUUAUAGAUGGAUCCGCGCCGCAUUAGCUAGUUGGUAAGGUAACGGCUUACCAAGGCGACGAUGCGUAGCCGACCUGAGAGGGUGAUCGGCCACACUGGAACUGAGACACGGUCCAGACUCCUACGGGAGGCAGCAGUGGGGAAUCUUCCGCAAUGGGCGAAAGCCUGACGGAGCAACACCGCGUGAGUGAUGAAGGUCUUCGGAUCGUAAAACUCUGUUAUUAGGGAAGAACAAAUGUGUAAGUAACUAUGCACGUCUUGACGGUACCUAAUCAGAAAGCCACGGCUAACUACGUG
rnacentral:rRNA from 1 species